rnacentral:rRNA from 1 species
AUACGGAGGAUGCGAGCGUUAUCCGGAUUUAUUGGGUUUAAAGGGUGCGUAGGUGGUAGAUUAAGUCAGCGGUGAAAGUUUGUGGCUCAACCAUAAAAUUGCCGUUGAAACUGGAGGACUUGAGUAUGUUUGAGGUAGGCGGAAUGCGUGGUGUAGCGGUGAAAUGCAUAGAUAUCACGCAGAACUCCGAUUGCGAAGGCAGCUUACUAAACCAUAACUGACACUGAAGCACGAAAGCGUGGGGAUCAAACAGGAUUAGAUACCCUGGUAGUCCACGCAGUAAACGAUGAUUACUAGGAGUUUGCGAUACACAGUAAGCUCUACAGCGAAAGCGUUAAGUAAUCCACCUGGGGAGUACGACCGCAAGGUUGAAACUCAAAGGAAUUGGCGGGG